rnacentral:rRNA from 1 species
UACGAAGGGGGCUAGCGUUGCUCGGAAUCACUGGGCGUAAAGGGUGCGUAGGCGGGUCUUUAAGUCAGGGGUGAAAUCCUGGAGCUCAACUCCAGAACUGCCUUUGAUACUGAGGAUCUUGAGUUCGGGAGAGGUGAGUGGAACUGCGAGUGUAGAGGUGAAAUUCGUAGAUAUUCGCAAGAACACCAGUGGCGAAGGCGGCUCACUGGCCCGGUACUGACGCUGAGGCACGAAAGCGUGGGGAGCAAACAGGG